UGAAUACGAGACGCUAAGGCGUCGAAGUAGUGUAUGUCAUACUUCCAAGAAAAGCUUGCACUGUCAUAGAUAAAAAACGCCUGUACCAUAACCGACACAGGUGGGUAGGUAGAGUAUACUAAGGGGCGCGAGAUAACUCUCUCUAAGGAACUCGGCAAAAUGACUCCGUAACUUCGGGAGAAGGAGUGCCUUAUUCUUAAGGUUGCAAUAACAAGAUCCAAGCAACUGUUUAUCAAAAACACAGGUCUCCGCUAAGUCGUAAGACGAUGUAUGGGGGCUGACGCCUGCCCAGUGCCAGAAGGUUAAAGAAGUUGGUUAGCAUUUGCGAAGCUGAUAACUGAAGCCCUGGUGAACGGCGGCCGUAACAAUAACGGUCCUAAGGUAGCGAAAUUCCUUGUCGGGUAAGUUCCGACCCGCACGAAAGGCGUAAUGAUUUGGAUACUGUCUCGGAGAGGGGCUCGGUGAAAUAGACUUGUCUGUGAAGAUGCGGACUACCUGCACCAGGACAGAAAGACCCUAUGAAGCUUUACUGUAACUUGAAAUUGAAAUUGGACUUUAUUCGCGCAGUAUAGGUGGGAGGCGUUGAUUAUAAUCUUGCGGGAUUAUUGGAGCCAUCAGUGAGAUACCACCCUUGUAAUGUUAGAUUUCUAACUUUGAAUCAUUAUCUGGUCAAAGAACAGUUUCAGGCGGGCAGUUUGACUGGGGCGGUCGCCUCCUAAACGGUAACGGAGGCGUACAAAGGUUUCCUCUGAACGGUUAGAAAUCGUAUCUAGAGUGUAAAGGCAUAAGGAAGCUUGACUGUGAGACCUACAAGUCGAGCAGGGACGAAAGUCGGUCUUAGUGAUCUGACGGUACUGAGUGGAAAGGCCGUCACUCAACGGAUAAAAGUUACUCUAAGGAUAACAGGCUGAUCUCCCCCAAGAGUUCACAUCGACGGGGAGGUUUGGCACCUCGAUGUCGGCUCAUCGCACCCUGGGGCGGUAGUACGUCCCAAGGGUUGGGCUGUUCGCCCAUGAAAGCGGUACGCGAGCUGGGUUCAGAACGUCGUGAGACAGUUCGGUCCAUAUCCGGUGUAGGCGUUAGAAUAUUGAGAGGAGCCUUCUUUAGUACGAGAGGACCGAGAAGGACAUACCUCUGGUGUACCAGUUAUCGUGCCAACGGUAAACGCUGGGUAGCUAUGUAUGGAGUGGAUAACCGCUGAAAGCAUCUAAGU
rnacentral:rRNA from 1 species